GACGAACGCUGGCGGCGUGCUUAACACAUGCAAGUCGAACGGAAAGGCCCAGCUUUCUUGGUGUUCGCGUGGCGCACGGGUGUGUAAAACACGGGAGUUCCCUCCCCUACACUUGGGUAUAACUGGGGAAAACGGUCGCUUAUAGCGUAGAGCAACUGCUUCGUGUCGGUUGGGGAUAGUUUUUUCGGUUAGGGAUGGGUCCGCGGCCUGUCAGCUUGUUGGUGGGGUAAUGGCCUACCAAGGCGUCGAUGGGUAGCCGGCCUGAGAGGGUGGACGGCCACAUUGGGACUGAGAUACGGCCCAGACUCCUACGGGAGGCAGCAGUGGGGAAUAUUGCACAAUGGGCGCAGGCCUGAUGCAGCAACGCCGCGUGGGGGAUGACGGCCUUCGGGUUGUAAACCGCUUUCGACAGGGACGAAGCUUUAGUGACGGUACCUGUAUAAGAAGCACCGGCUAACUACGUG
rnacentral:rRNA from 1 species